GUAAUUUCCUAUUAUUCCAAACAAUCUUUGGAUGACUGUUUGAGAAGUCAGAUGGCAUUAGACUGGAUUUUGAAGGAGAAGAAGAUAUCAGGAAUUAUAACUCAGGAGCUCCAAUUGUCUCUUAAGGAUCUAGAGAAAGCCAGGGAAACUGGUCGUGAAUUGCGGUUCUACAAAGAAAAGAAAGAAAUUCUGACACUUGCUCUCAGUCAAGUUAGCACUAAAAUGACAAAAAAUGCACCUAGCAAAGACAUCAAAGGCAACCUACAAGGAAGAGACACACUUCACAACAAUAAUUUGAACCAAAAACAUAAAUCGCUGGUGAAACUUAGCAGGUCUGGUGGCAUCUGUGGGAAGAAAGCAGAGUUAACAUUUCAAAUUCAGCAAUUCUUCAUCAGAAGAUGAGGUGGGGGAGGGGUGGUGAAGGGGACAGGUGAGUGGAUAGGUGUAAAUGGAGCACAGAAAGACAGAGAGAAUUGAAGGAUGUACAAAAGCAAGGAAGUCAUAGUACCCUUACAGUGUGGAAACAGGCCAUUCGGCCUAACAAGUCCACAUCGCCCCUCCAAGGACCAUCCCACCCAGACCCAUUCCCCUAUCUCUGCAUUUCCCAUGUCUAAACGAUCUCACGUAAACAUCCCUGGGCACUACGGACAAUUUAAUAUAGCCAAUCCACCUACCCUGCACAUCUUUGGACCGAGGGAGGAAACCGGAGCACCCGGAGGAAACCCAUGCAGGCAUGGGGAGGAUGCGCAAACUCCAUACAGACAGUCGCCCGAGGCUGGAAUCGAACCUGGGUCCCUGGCGCUGUGAGGCAGCAACCACCAUGCCACCCCUUUUUUUAACAUAAAAUUCCACCAGGAUUCAAACCCAGCUCACCUGAACAUUACCUGGAUCUUUGGAUUAACAGUGCAGCAAUAAUACCACUAGACGAUCACCUCCCCAAAGAACAAGCAGUGCUUCAGGACAGAAUUCAACACACCCCAGAAAGGACUUGAACCCACAAUCCCUGCCUUAAGAGGGCAGUGCCUUAUCCUCUAGGCCACUGGGGCCAGGUGCUUAAUAAUAGCAUCUCAGGACAGAAGGAAAUUUGAAUAAGUGAUAAGAACUAAGACUAGGAGAGAAUGGGUAAGCAGUACUGAAAGCAACCCAAAUAAUGUGAUAAUAGGUCUAAGGGUAAGUGAGAACGGGAGAUUGUGCUAAAAGCAACCCAUGUCAUAACAGGACCGGGUGUGCAGUGGGUAAAAAAAAUAGAAGGGUGAAAUCAGGCUCUCAAAUCAUUGAAUUCGUGAGUCCUGAGGCUGCAGAGUCUCCAAGCAGAAAAUGCAAUGUUGUUAUUCAAGCUUGCACUGAGCUUUGCUGGAGCAUUGCAGUGGGUCUGAGACAGAAAUGUUGAUUUGGGAACACAGCGGUAUGUUGAAGUGGCAGGCAACUGGAAGCUCAAGGUCAUUUUUGUGGAGUGAAUGUUGGCGUUCUGCAAGACAGUCACCCAGUCUGUGUUUUGUUUCCCCAAUGUAGAGGAAACCAUAUUGUGAGCAGCGAAUACACAGUGAAGACUAGAUUGAAUGAAGUGCAGGUAAAUCACUGCUUCACCUGUGAAUUGUGUCAGGGGCCUUGGAUAGUGAGGAGGGAGGAGGUAAACGGGUAGUUGUUACACCUUCUCCGCCUGCAGAAGAAGAUGCUGUGGAACAAAGAUCAAUCACAUCAGUAUUAAUUAUGCACAAACAUGCUUCUGACUACAGAAUAAAGUACUAAAUGACUGAAAUAUCAUAUGGGGGCAGCCUACCAUUUCAGAGCUAAGCUGUUUUGGAUAGACAGCUUCAUGUUGCUGCUACAAAAACACUGAGUGAGAGAAAGAGAAGCUAUCCUCAACCUGUCAUGUUAAAUGGGUGAAUUCGGAUCUGCGUUUACCAUAGUUUGGGUAAAUAUUUAAUUUUUGAUAUGAGAAACAUUGCUUAAUGAUAGAAAUGGAAAGAACAAUGUAUAGAUCCUCAGAUGUUGUAAGAACUGUUCUAUUCACAGUAACAUUAAAUGUACAAGAAAAACUGGUCUCUGUAAACAUUAUCGAACUCUUCAACUCGCCAUUAUGAGCCUGAACAAGUUAUCAGGCAGCUGUGAUUCAGUUUGUGGCACUCUCUGUCUUCAAGUUGUUAUAUUUCAAUUAACAUUAAACACCUAUGCUUACAUUCCA